rnacentral:tRNA from 2 species
GGCGCCGUGGCCGAGUGGCUAGGCAACGGAUUGCAAAUCCGUGUACCGCGGUUCAAUUCCGCGCGGCGCCUCCA